rnacentral:lncRNA from 1 species
GUUUCUAUUUAGCGCUUCAUGAUAAAUUGUUCUUUUGUGACACAGGUUUGCUGCAUUUGCUUGGCGAAGUAUGUGAACAACGAUGAACUCCGGGAAUUGCCUUGCUCUCAUUUCUUUCACAAGGAGUGUGUGGAUAAAUGGCUAAAGAUCAAUGCAUCGUGUCCACUUUGCAAAGCCGAGGUUGGUGAAACUAUUUUGAGUUCACUCACUGAGGCGACUGCCAGUCUACGACAGAGAACCAUGUUAUAAACGGCGAAAUGGAAUGUCCCAAGUCGAAACAAUGUUUGCUUCGGCUCGUCCUUGGGAUCGAGAGCUCGUGCUCGAACUGUCUUGUCUCGAGAAGAUGUUGUCCAUCACUAUAUCAGAGAGAGGGAGACAGAAUUAUAGAAAGUGGACAUCCUGUAAAACUGCUUGUUUAGUGUUUUGUUGAACUUGAAUGACCGAGUAGCAACUCCAUUUCUCCUACACUUUGCACUUGUAUUUUCAGAGAUAAAUGUUGUUUAUUAUUUGUUUCAUUCCGGUUUUGCCAUGUUAUCAUUUACUGCCA